AUGUAUCAGGUCCAUUCAAAAUCCAACAUUCACAUAACUCAGUGGGACGUGUCAGUUCGAACAUGUACAAAGCUAUACAAAAAAGCGCAUUCACAAAUUCAGAACAUAAAGUCAUUACAUACAACAUAUUACCAUUCAUUUGAAAAAAUCAACACCAAAGCAUCAUACCAUUCAAAUUCAACUUUCACUCACCACCAAAUUCACAUUCAGAUUCAAUUUAUGUUCGCACUCGUAUUCACGUUCGAAUCCCUUCCAAAUUCACAUAAAAACAGAUUUAACAACUAA